rnacentral:lncRNA from 1 species
UCUUGAGGACCCCAAGACCCUUGAAGACCCCAACGUCCUCAAGAACCCCAACACUCUUGAAGACCCCAGGACCCUUGACAAUCCCAACACCCUUGAAGACCCCAACGCCCUUGAAGACCCCAACACCCACAAGAACCCCAAGACCCUUGAAGACCCCAACACCCUAAAAGACCCCAACGCCCUGGAGGACCGCGACACCCCGAUUACCGCAGCGCCCCCCUGGGACCGGGUGGUCUUCGUGCUCCCGGCCUUCGAGGUGCGCGCGGGGGUCCCGGUGCCGGAGACGAAGGCGGAGCUGCUGCGCUUGUGGGGCCGGGGGGCGGCGCGGCCGUUCUAUGGGGCGCUGUGCCCCCGCUGCCAGGCCCCCACGGGCUACGGGCGGUGGCGGGGGCUGCCCCCGGCCCCCCGGCUGAGCGUGGCCUACGAGGCGCCGUGGCGGGACCCCUGGGAGCCCUUCUACGUGGGGCCGGCCCACGCCGUGCCCCCCUUCGACGAGCGCUUCGUGCAGUACGGCUUCAACCGCAUCAGCCAGGCCUGCGAGCUGCACAUGGCCGGGUUCCGCUUCGCGGUGCUGGACGGGGCCUUCGUCGUCCACCGCGGCUUCAAGGAGGCCGGCGGCUUCCACGGGGCGCGCGAGGCCGAGCUGAGCCACAACCGGCAGCUCUACCGCCGCUUCCGCCACGAGCUGCGCCUCCGCUACCCCCACACCACGCGGCGCUGCUGACCCCCCCCCCACCCCCCCCCCCCCACCCCGCACGGGGUCCGGGGGUGGCGUCAACGGGGUGCCGGGGACGUUGGUCAAUGGGGUUGUGUGGGUACUGGUCAAUGAGGUGCUGUGGGUGUUGGCCAACUGGGUGCCCGUGGGUGUUGGUCAACGGGGUCCCGUAGGUGUUGGUCAACGGGGUCCUCGGGACGUUGGUCAACUGGGUUCCUAUGGGUGUUGGUCAACGGGAUCCCAUGGGUGUUGGCCAACUGGAUUCCCAUUGGUGUUGGUCAACGGGGUCCCAUGGGUGUUGGUCAAUGGGGUGCCGUGGGUGUUGGUCAAUAGGGUUCCCAUGGGUGUUGGUCAAUGGGGUCCUGGGGGUUUUGGUCAACGGGAUCCCAUGGGUGUUGGUCAACGGGGUCCUCGGGACGUUGGUCAACAGGGUUCUGUGGACGUUGGUCAGUGGGGUCCCAUGGGUGUUGGUCAACUGGGUCCCUUGGACAUCAUCAACUGGUUGCUUGGGGUCAAUGGGUCCUAUAGAUGUUGGCCAGCUGGGUUCUAUGGACACUGGUCAAUAGGAUCCUCGGGAUGUUGGUCAACUGGGUCCCAUUGGUGUUGGUCAACGGAAUCCUAUGGGUUUUGGUCAACGGGAUCCCAUGGGUGUUGGUCAACAGGGUUCUGUGGACGUUGGUCAACUGGGUCCCGUGGGUGUUGGCCAACUGGG